GGGUGCGAUCAUACCAGCACUAAUGCACCGGAUCCCAUCAGAACUCCGCAGUUAAGCGUGCUUGGGCGAGAGUAGUACUAGGAUGGGUGACCCCCUGGGAAGUCCUCGUGUUGCACCCC
rfam:Rhizophagus irregularis DAOM 197198w jcf7180003173113, whole genome shotgun sequence.